rnacentral:rRNA from 1 species
GAACUCUCGGCAAACGAAUAUCUUGGCCCUCGCAACGAUGAAGAGCGCAGCGAAAUGCGAUACUCAAUGUGAAUUGCAGAAAUCCGUGAGCCAUCGAUACCUUGAACGCACGUGGCGCCCGAGGCUUCUGCCGAGGGCACGCCCGCCUGAGCAUCA